rnacentral:rRNA from 1 species
UACGGGGGGGGGCAAGCGUUGUUCGGAAUUACUGGGCGUAAAGGGCUCGUAGGCGGCCAACUAAGUCAGACGUGAAAUCCCUCGGCUUAACCGGGGAACUGCGUCUGAUACUGUACGGCUUGAGGCCGGGAGGGGGUAGCGGAAUUCCCAGUGUAGCGGUGAAAUGCGUAGAUACUGGGAGGAACACCAGUGGCGAAGGCGGCUACCUGGACCGGUUCUGACGCUGAGGCGCGAAAGCGUGGGUAGCAAACAGG